rnacentral:rRNA from 1 species
GACGUAGGGCGCGAGCGUUGUCCGGAUUUAUUGGGCGUAAAGAGCUCGUAGGUGGUUCGGUAAGUCGGAUGUGAAAAUCUCCAGGCUCAACCUGGAGGGGUCAUUCGAUACUGCCGUGACUAGAGGUCGGUAGGGGAGUGUGGAAUUCCUGGUGGAGCGGUGAAAUGCGCAGAUAUCAGGAGGAACACCGGUGGCGAAGGCGGUGGUCUGGGCCGGCACUGACGCUGAGGAGCGAAAGCGUGGGUAGCAAACAGG